CAGGAGCUGUCAGAGCUGUGUCCUGACAAGAUCCUACCUACGUUGCUUCUCUGGCGCUAGAGCUCUCCAGCUCUGCCCCUUACCCAGUCGUGCUAGCAGAUGUUCUCGAAAGUGAAGUCCCCGCAUCCUACGCGCUCCCCGCCACCCCAACGUCCCUCUCUCCUAGGCUCUGAGGGCUGCCCGCCGCCCCGCCCCUGCCGCUCGAACGCCUCUCCCUCAUAGGCCAGAGCUAUCCGUGGUGCCCGGCCCCCGCCGCCUGAAUGCGGCUCCCUCAUAGGCCGGAGCUCUCCCCACAGUCCCGCUCCGCGCACUGGUCCCGCCCCUGCGUCCAUUUAAAGAGUCUUCACACAUACCACCCAUCCCCUCCUUGCCGAGUGGCUUGUUUUGUGCGACGCUCCGUAGCUGCUCGUUUCCGCCCACGGCGCGGACUUCUUUAGGUAGAGGGACUUUUGGCCGCCUCGCCGGGCCCAGGCGACAGAGAAAAGAGCCAACGUGCGUGUGCUCCCUAGUGAGACCUCCAGAGGGAAGGGCAGCAGGCCGAGACCCACACAGAACAGAUUUGUACGUCCCCUCAGAAGAAUAUGCCCACACAAUUGAGCACGAGGUUCUGCAUCAAAUUUCAAGAGGUUCAGCUCAUUCUGCCAUGAAAUGUUUUUGACUAGAGGAAUGUUUUACCCAUUAACCCAAGCCCUUGCAAUAGUCAAGAAGGAAAGCCCUUCACUUCCUUUUUGCAACGUAAAGAGCUUGUUUUUAGUGGCAUAUUGCCAUCAUUGAAAUCAGUGACUUUAAUAAACAUUUUAAGUUGUUUGUUA